AGCAUGUGACAGAGAGUCACAUGGGAGCCUAAGGGUCAGGAUCUGGGUAAAGAUUCUAAGGUCCCAACAGUCUUGGCACUUCUCUCAUGAUGGACCCAGAGUUGGAGGUUUGAAAACAGGUUUCUGGCCUUAGGUGAUACAAGUUGAAGAGAGGAAUAUUUUGAACUGGCUGCUGGCAGCUUGAAAAAAAGACUGAGGAUCCACUUCUCCACUGGACCUGUUUUGGACAGUUUUCAUCUGAAGAUCCUGGCCCAAUUGAUUGGACUCCACUUGUGAGAUUUGGCUAUUGGAGAAACAUUGUUUUAGCUUAGAAGUCCUGAAUACCUUUGGUAUACGUGUUAACAUUACCAUGGAAUGUAAUAGAAUCCCAGCCCCUGGAUAUCAUCAUCACUUACCCACAAGGUAACUAGAAGAUGUGAAAUAAGAAUGGUAUAAUUUUUACCACUUCAGUUUGAAGAAAUCGAGAGGUACUGUGGUAUAGGGGAUAGACUGCUGGAAUAUUGUCUAAAUGAGCUCAUUCAAAUGAUGUCUUCUAUAU
rnacentral:lncRNA from 1 species